CAAAAUGAGUUGCACAGAAUCAAUGACCAAGUACCGCUGCCCGCGUUCGGGAGACAAAAUGGCAGUGGAAAGCACUCAAGUUAAUCCUUUAAUUGCAGUUAACAGCCAGGGGUGGUCGGUGUUCUAAGUCACUAAAGAGGGGGACCACACAAGUUCUGUUCAGUACCCGAAAAGGGUGUACUGGUCUGUUCGGUAGAACUAAAUAUAGG